rnacentral:misc_RNA from 1 species
UUGUCAUACUGGCUUAUCAGAUUAUAUAGUCUUUCAUGAAUCCUUGCUUCUGCCGGUACAAGUGACUGAGAUCUCUAGCUUUGUAGUUACCAAUUUGGUCAUGGACUUGUUUUAUUUGAAAUUUGAUGUAUCAUGAAUGCUAAAAUAUGCAUUUUAUGUUGUAGAACAAAUGUAGCUUGGUGAUGAUAAUUUAUGCAGCUUUGG